UACGGAGGGUGCAAGCGUUGUUCGGAAUCAUUGGGCGUAAAGCGCGUGUAGGCGGCUUGGCAAGUUAGUUGUGAAAGCCCGGGGCCCAACCCCGGAAUUGCAUCUAAAACUGCCUGGCUAGAGUCCCGGAGAGGAAGGCAGAAUUCCCGGUGUAGGGGUGAAAUCCGUAGAUAUCGGGAGGAAUACCAGCGGCGAAGGCGGCCUUCUGGACGGUGACUGACGCUGAGACGCGAAAGCGUGGGGAGCGAACGGG
rnacentral:rRNA from 1 species